AGUUGUACAAAUAUAGUUACAUCAGAAGGUAUUUUCUCUAUUUCUCUUCGUCUCCAUACGUCUAGGAAUGGCGAUUCCAAGCAUCUAGGGGAGGAUGCAGGGAGAACUCUCAAGUUGAAGAUCGGCGAAUCUUAGGUUGAAGUCGGCGUAGCUUUUCUAAGUGAUUCGAUUUUAUUUUUUUGCGUCUUCGUUGUUGUCAUUUCUUUGAUUAGGGAAGUUGAGGAGCAACAAUAGUGGAAAUCAAAAUUGACUAGCAGCAUCCCUUGUUCAUGCGACCAUCGGAUGGGCCUAGAUCCAUAUUAGCUCCAAUUCAGCUAAAAGGAUCUAAAAACUAUUGAUUAUAGCAUAGAUCGAUGUGCAUCACACUACAGUUGAAGAGAAAAAUAGGAUUGGUGGUACUAGGAACAUGCAAGAAGAGCCCGUUCGAGAAAGAAUUGCAGGAGCAAUUGAAAACUUGCAACACUUAUCCUAUCAUGGACCGUCAUUAAUACUGUAGCUCCACCUCUUUUCAGUGGAAUUGUUUAUGCUACAGAUGCCUACACAAUUUUUUGAAGACUUGCAGGAAAGGUUUGACAAGAUUAAUUGAGUAAGGAUUUUUCAAUUACACAGGAAAUUAAAUUGCUAUAAUUUCACAGAGGACCGACACUUUCUAUACUUCACCAAAUUAAAGAAACUUCGGGUUGAAUAUGAUCUGAUUGUACUUUUUCCUAACUGUGGUUGUGCUAGAUAUAAGGAGUACAUUGAACACUUGCAACAACAAAAACGGUUGCAAUUUUUGAGUGGAUUGAAUGAUAUUUAUGCACAGUCUAAGUAACAAAUCCUUAUGAAAUUGACUAAGCCUAGUCUGAAUCAAUGUUAUGCCAUGAUUAUGGAAGAAGAGAGUCAUAAAUAUGUCAAUAAUUCGGGAAAACAUGCUAUAGGAGAAGGUAUUAACAUUGCUGCUUUUUGGAGUGCCCGGGCACCAAAUUCUUUUAGCAAUGGAAAAAGUGCAGGUCAGUUUUAAGGUACACCACCUAAUCGUGGUUAUCAGAAGCGUAAGAGGAUUUGGAAUGAACAAUGCGACCAGUGCAAGAUGCAUGGCCACACAAUGUUAGAUUGUUAUCAAAUCAUAGGCUAUUCAGAGAAUUUUAAGAAGAAGAGGAAGCCUCUGGAUAAUCAUACAUUAUAUGCAACACUAGGACGACAUCAAUUUCCCCCCUUAGGGUACUCAAGCUGGAUAUUCGCCUCUAUACAUGGAUACUAGUCACCCAGCUCUUAUUAUGGUUAUUCAAGCAUUAGAGAUAACACAUCAACAGAUGAAACUGUACAUGGUGUAAAUCACUUUGUUGUUGGACAUUUUCUUGGUGUUGAACCUUAUAGUAGGACCAUUUAGGUGUUGAUAAAGGGAAGGACUAUAGGUGAGGAUUGAUGAGAACAUUAAUGUAUCUUUAUUUCCUCAUCAAUAUGCACAUGUUCAGAAAAUGUUCCACAAGGGCACUACCUUUGCACCAUCAGCAAAUAUGGCAGGGUAGGCCAAGGGAAGAUCCAGAAUGUGUUAUAUGUUUCAAGUUUCAAAAUGGAUUUACUUUCAGUAGCCAAGUUGACAAGAGAAUUGAAUUGUGUUAUGAAAUUCUAUCCUGAUUUUUGCCUGCUAUAUGACCUUCACAUUGGCCAGGUGAAAGAAAUUGGUAAAAUGAUAGAUGAUAUGUAUCACUUGAAGUCCAGAGGAAGUAUUCAGCACUCAUUAGCAACCUACAUUGCAUCCAUAAAUAAUGACAUCUGGCAUAAGAGAUCGGGUCAUGUUCCACUCAAAAUGGUUAUAAGCUUUUUUAUUUGGCUAACAAAUUGUUUUUUUUUGCUAGUAGAGAUAUGUAGUUUGUGAAAAAAUAUUUUUUCUUUCCAAUCUAGCUCUUCUCCAGAGAUAGAUCAUUAUCAGCAAAUGCACAAAAUAUAAAUAAAUGUGUUGUGGAUGUA